AGAAAAUCAAGAAAUACUAAAGAAAAAGGUUUGCACAUAAAAUGGCGACUUUGAACGUGGGUGUUCACACCAGGUAUCUCAUUCUCAUUAAGAUAAACCAUGUUUCACAGUAACUGAAACCAUCACCGUCCAAAAGCAAUGUACGGUGAAUGUUGUGACAGUCUGUUUACAUAAUUUCUUUUGUAAAAUAAAAAAAUUAUGUACCAUUUUAUUUUCUUCUUGUUUUUUGAGGGGGUUUCCUUUUUCUUCUUGUGAGGAUACAACUUAAAAGGAAAUCCUAACACGAUGGUACAAGUAUAACUAGCCCACCACCAGAAUGGCUGUAUGGGUCAUGGUCCAAUAGGUUUGCCGCUUCUACUACGCGGCCUCACCCACCCC
rnacentral:lncRNA from 1 species